rnacentral:rRNA from 1 species
CGAGUCGCAAGCUCGCGAGAGUAAGCUAAUCUCUUAAAGCCGUUCUCAGUUCGGACUGUAGGCUGCAACUCGCCUACACGAAGUCGGAAUCGCUAGUAAUCGCGGAUCAGCAUGCCGCGGUGAAUACGUUCCCGGGCCUUGUACACACCGCCCGUCACACCAUGGGAGUUUGUAACGCCCAAAGUCGGUGGCCUAACCUUUAUGGAGGGAGCCGCCUAAGGCGGGACAGAUGACUGGGGUGAAGUCGUAACAAGGUAGC